AUACGGAGGAUCCGAGCGUUAUCCGGAUUUAUUGGGUUUAAAGGGUGCGUAGGUUGCCGAUUAAGUCAGCGGUGAAAGUCAGUGGCUCAACCAUUGAAUUGCCGUUGAAACUGGUUGGCUUGAGUACGUACGGGGCAGGCGGAAUGCGUGGUGUAGCGGUGAAAUGCAUAGAUAUCACGCAGAACCCCGAUCGCGAAGGCAGCCUGCCAGGCCGUGACUGACACUGAUGCACGAAAGCGUGGGUAUC
rnacentral:rRNA from 1 species